rnacentral:lncRNA from 12 species
GAUAAAACGAGGCUGGGACAGGGGCUGAGCCUGUUGUAGGUGUGAGGGGAUGGUGGAGUUUGCUGCUUCUCUCCAGGCUGAGCUGCUGCCUCUGGUGAUGUCUGAGCACCUUGUGUUCCCACCUUCCAUCCCUUCACUUGGAUGGACUGUGCUCCUUUCCUGGUCGUUCCCUUUGCUCUGAUGUUUGAG